CUUUUUUUUUUCCCCGAGGGGGUCACAAGGAUGGGCACAGACAUGGAAGGACUGGGAGGAGAAGACAAAAAGUGGCCGUGAUUCCCCUCAACAGAUGAAAGCCCUCAUAGCAGCAUGUUGGAUGGAAGAGAACACAUUUUUGAAUUCCAGUUCUUCAGACAGCCCGCCACCGGAAGCCCAGCUCUCGUGCUAAAUCCGCGGCCUUGAGCAUGUUCCUGGAAGAGCAGGCAGUGUCAUCACAGGGACGUUUGGAUGAUUCCAUGAUUGGCAGCUGAAGACACAACGAGCUUGCAGGACAAGAAGCAGAACAGGUUCCCUGAAGCAGUGUUUCUCACACUUGUGAAACCAGGGUUUGUGGCCAGAAGUGCACAUCCCGGUGACCCACGAGAGAGGAAGCAGUAGACACAUAUUGGUGAGGUAGUCAGGGGCAUUGCCAAUGAGCGGUGGGCAGCUUGUCAACUGCGUGACUCUCAGAGGCAGUGCGGUAGGCGGCACUAUGGAGAUCACCAAUUCACACCUCCUCAUCCCUCCUCCUACUCCCUGGCUUUGGAAACACUAAGUACUUUGGGAUCUGGAGUCGCCUCCCGCAGCUGCUGAGCUGUGUGGCUGUGCUGUGCCAGUUAUCCCCACCCCCCU
rnacentral:sRNA from 1 species